GACGAACGCUGGCGGCGUGCUUAACACAUGCAAGUCGAACGGAAAGGCCCUGCUUUUGUGGGGUGCUCGAGUGGCGAACGGGUGAGUAACACGUGAGUAACCUGCCCUUGACUUUGGGAUAACUUCAGGAAACUGGGGCUAAUACCGGAUAGGAGCUCCUGCUGCAUGGUGGGGGUUGGAAAGUUUCGGCGGUUGGGGUUGGACUCGCGGCUUAUCAGCUUGUUGGUGGGGUAGUGGCUUACCAAGGUUUUGACGGGUAGCCGGCCUGAGAGGGUGACCGGCCACAUUGGGACGGAGAUACGGCCCAGAAUCCUACGGGAGGCAGCAGGGGGGAAUAUUGCACAAUGGGCGGAAGCCUGAUGCAGCAACGCCGCGUGCGGGAUGACGGCCUUAGGGUUGUAAACCGCUUUCGCCUGUGACGAAGCGUGAGUGACGGUAAUGGGUAAAGAAGCACAGGCUAACUACGUG
rnacentral:rRNA from 1 species